rnacentral:tRNA from 1 species
GGGGUUGUGGUUCAGAGGUAGAGCACUCACCUAGCAUGCGUGAGAUUGGGUUCAAUCCUCAGGACCACA